rnacentral:rRNA from 1 species
AUUGAACGCUGGCGGAAUGCUUUACAUAUGCAAGUCGAACGGCAGCACGGACUUCGGUCUGGUGGCGAGUGGCGAACGGGUGAGUAACAUAUCGGAACGUAUCCAAUAAUGGGGGAUAACGAGUCGAAAGAUUCGCUAAUACCGCAUACGCCCUACGGGGGAAAGCUGGGGACAUUCGGGCCUGGCGUAAAUGGAGCGGCCGAUAUCUGAUUAGCUAGGUGGUGAGGUAAAGGCUCACCAAGGCGACGAUAAGUAGCUGGUCUGAGAGGACGACCAGCCACACUGGAACAGAGACACGGUCCAGACGCCUACGGGAGGCAGCAGUGGGGAAUUUUGGACAAUGGGCGCAAGCCUGAUCCAGCCAUUCCGCGUGAGUGAAGAAGGCCUUCGGGUUGUAAAGCUCUUUCGCAAGGGAAGAAAACUUAGCCACUAACAUUGGUUGAGGUUGACGGUACCUUGAUAAGAAGCACCGGCUAACUACGUGCCAGCCGCCGCAGUAA